UUAAUAUUAGUUUAUAUAAAACAUUGAUUUGUGGAAUCAAUAAUCUAAAUAUUAUU
rnacentral:tRNA from 1 species